AUGAUGGUUCCGUUUUGGACAAAAAAGAAAAGUAGCACCACUGUGUUAAACCAAUGCUUAGAGGAGUUCUACAUUAUUUCAUUAGUCCAUUUACAGCAUGUCAAAUGGAUCAUCUUAUUUAGGGGUAAAAUCAACUUCCCUCUGAAAUCUGCUGCUGGUCACACUCUUUUAUAUGAUGGUCUGACCUGGUUACACUCUUUCGACAGGGCAGCCCCAGUGCAUGCAGCUCCCGCUUGCGCAGGGUCUGGGGAAGGGUCCGACCACUUUGGGUCUAUUGUACGCAGCCUUUCCCUACAUUUCUGUAAGAGGCUGUUUCCAGGACUUGAACCCGUGACCUCAUGGUCACAAGGCAGCAGCUUUACCACUGCGCCAAGGCUCCCCUUCUGGUUACACUCUUUCGACAGUCGAUACAUAUUUUCUCUUGGAUUAUUUACAAAAGAAAAUGAUUUGGGGUGA
rnacentral:rRNA from 1 species